rnacentral:rRNA from 1 species
UGCAAGUCGAACGCGAAAGUCCCCUUCGGGGACAAGUAGAGUGGCGUCCGGGUGAGUAACACGUAGGUAAUCUACCUUCGGGUGGGGAAUAACGCAGGGAAACUUGCGCUAAUACCGCAUAAUGCAGCGGCACCACAUGGUGACAGUUGUUAAAGCGGGGGAUUUUCGAACCUCGCGCCUGAAGAGGAGCCUGCGGCAGAUUAGCUAGUUGGUAAGGUAAUGGCUUACCAAGGCGACGAUCUGUAACCGGCCUGAGAGGGCGGUCGGUCACACUGACACUGACAUACGGGUCAGACUCCUACGGGAGGCAGCAGUCGGGAAUUUUGGGCAAUGGGCGAAAGCCUGACCCAGCAACGCCGCGUGAAGGAUGAAAUCCCUCGGGAUGUAAACUUCGCAAGAAUGGGAAGAAUGAACGAGUACUAAUACUGCUCGUGAUGACGGUACCAUUUGUAAGCUCCGGCUAACUCCGUGCCAGCAGCCGCGGUAAUACGGGGGGAGCAAGCGUUGUUCGGAUUUACUGGGCGUAAAGGGCGCGUAGGCGGCCAGCACAAGUCAGUUGUGAAAUCUCCGGGCUUAACUCGGAAAGGUCAACUGAUACUGUGCGGCUAGAGUGCAGAAGGGGCAACUGGAAUUCUCGGUGUAGCGGUGAAAUGCGUAGAUAUCGAGAGGAACACCUGCGGCGAAGGCGGGUUGCUGGGCUGACACUGACGCUGAUGCGCGAAAGCAGGGGAGCGAACGGGAUUAGAUACCCCGGUAGUCCUGGCCUUAAACGAUGG